AACGUAGGAGGCAAGCGUCAUCCGGAGUUACUGGGCGUAAAGAGUGCGUAGGCGGAUUGAUAAGUGGGUGGUGAAAGCGCCCGGCUAAACCGGGCGAGGUCCAUUCAGACUGUCAGUCUAGAGGCGGAUAGAGGGGUGCGGAAUUCUUGGUGUAGCGGUGAAAUGCGUAGAUAUCAAGAGGAAUACCUGAGGUGAAGACGGGUUGCUAGGCCGACACUGACGCUGAAGCGCGAAAGCCAGGGGAGCAAACGGG
rnacentral:rRNA from 1 species